rnacentral:tRNA from 1 species
GAGAGAGGUCAUGAGACAAUAGGAACUGCUAAUUCUUAUGAACAUGGUUAAACUCCGUGACUCACUCG